rnacentral:rRNA from 1 species
AGCAGCCGCGGUAAUUCCAGCUCCAAUAGCGUAUAUUAAAGUUGCUGCAGUUAAAAAGCUCGUAGUUGAAUUUCGGGACCAUCAUGUCGGUCGUGCCUCGGUACGUACUGGCAUUGUUGGUUUCUCCCUUCUGACGAACCAUGAUGUCAUUUAUUUGGUGUUGUGGGGAAUCAGGACUGUUACUUUGAAAAAAUUAGAGUGUUUAAAGCAGGCUCACGCUUGAAUACAUUAGCAUGGAAUAAUGAAAUAGGACGUUUGAUUCUAUUUUGUUGGUUUUUAGGAUCGACGUAAUGAUUAAUAGGGAUAGUUGGGGGCAUUAGUAUUCAAUUGUCAGAGGUGAAAUUCUUGGAUUUAUUGAAGACUAACUACUGCGAAAGCAUUUGCCAAGGAUGUUUUCAUUAAUCAAGAACGAAAGUUAGGGGAUCGAAGACGAUCAGAUACCGUCGUAGUCUUAACCAUAAACUAUGCCGACUAGGGAUCGGAUGAUGUUAAUUUUUUAAUGACUCAUUCGGCGCCUUACG